GUGCUCGCUUCGGCAGCAGCACAUAUACUAAAAUUGGAAUGAUACAGAGAUUAGUGUGACCCCUGUGCAAGAAUGACACACAAAUUCGUGAAGUGUUCCAUAUUUUG